AUCUGGUUCCAGUGUGCCUGGCAUGGUGCUUCAGAAUGUCAGACUACCCGCCGGACAUGCUGGAACCACAUUCUGGCCAUGCCUGAACCACCUGCUGGACACCCUGAACCACCUGCCAGAUACGCGUGAACCACUUGAUGGAAACUCCAGAACCACAUGCUGGGCACGCCGGAACCACUUGUCAAGUACACCAGAAUCAGGUGCCGGACAAGCUGCAACCACCUGCUUGACUUGCCGGAACCACUGCUGGACAUGCCAAAAUCACCUGCCAGAAACGCUGGAAACAGGCAGCUUAUAUGCUGGAAAACCCCGCCAGACAUGCAUGAACCACCGGCCGGACACACUGGAACCACCACUCAGACACACUGGAACCACCUGCCAGACAUGCCAGAACCAACUGCCGGACGUGCCGGAAGCACCCACCAGACACACCGGAACCACCUUCUGAACGUACCAGAACCACAUGCCAGUCACACAGGAACCACCUGCCAGACACACCGGAACCAUCUGAGGGAAGUGGCAGAGUCACCCACUGGACAUGACAGAGCCACCUUCUGGACGUGCCGGAACCACCUCACUGACACGCCGGAACCACCUGCCAGACACUUUGGAACCACCUGUUGGAUAUGCCGCAACCAGGUACCAGAUACUCUGAAACCACCUGCCGUAUACGCCAGAAUCAGGUGCCAGACAUGCCACAAACACGUGGCACAGAGGCCGGAACCACCAGCGUAACACGUCGGAACAACCUGCUGGACACACCAAAAUCACCUGCCGGAUACACCAGAACCAGGUCCUGGGUACGCCAGAAGCAAUUUCUGGAAAAGGCCGGAACAACCUGCUGGACACACCGGAAUCACCCCUGGACAUGCGGGAACCAACGGCCAGACAUGCUGGAACCAACACCUGGACACUCUGAAAGUACCAACUGCACACGACGGAAUCAGGUCCUGGACACAUGGUAGCCACCUGACGGACACGCUGGAACUACAUUCAGAGCGUACCGGAAUCACAUGCCAGACACGCAGGAACCACCUGUCAGAAACCAUGGAACCCACUGUCAGAUACGCCGGAACCAGGCACCCAGUACGCUGAAGCCACCUGCCGAAUAUCCCAGAACCAUGUGCCAGCCACGCUGGAAUCAUGUGAUGGAUACACCAGAAACAGGUACAGCAGAGGCCAGAACCAGGUGCCCGAAAUGCCAGAACCACCUGCUUGACACACCUGAACCACCUGUCAGUCUUGUGAGAACCACUUGACGGAUACACCAGAUGCAGGUGUCACACAUGCCAAAACCAGGUUCCAGACACAUCUGAACCACCUGCCAGUCUUGUGAGUACCACCUGCCAGAUACACCAGACACAGGUGUCGCACAUGCCAAAACCAGGUGCUGACAUGACGGAACCACCUGCAAAACAUGCCAGAACCAGGUGCUGGACAAGCUGGAACCACCUGCCGGACACGUUGAAAUCCCCUGCCGGAUACACCGGAACCACAUGUCACAUGUGCUGGAAUCGCCUACCAGACAUGCCGGGACCACCUGUUGGAUACGCCGGAACCAGAUGCUUUCACUAAUGGAAAUUUCCUUUAUAAACAUAAAUUUCCUUUCCAAAGAGGAAGUCUAUCCUUCAUUUAAAGCAGUCAAGGUGGAGAUCAAGAGUUUUUCCUGCAUCUGCUGGCUCUCGAUUGCUUUUGGCUCAAAAUAAUUUGUAUGUCAAAGUACCAUACUUUGGGCAUCUUCAGCAUUCCUUCAAGAAGAAACAACUUGUUCUUGGAAGUCUCUGUCUCCUCCCCAACCCAGAUGCACUCAAGCUGUUAGGGGCCAACAGCAAACAAGGUUCUGCCACAAGAAGCUUUGGGGAAGCCUCUUCACCCUCAAAGGCCUGAGACACACUAGAGGGAUAGAUCACUGCAGGUUCUUCAGCCAUUGAAAAUAACAUAAACAGCUCCAUUCUCAUAAAUUUAACAACUUGAAAACAAGGAACAAUUUACCUAAAAUUUCAAACUAACAAAACUCAACCAAGAUGAUCAGGCACUGCCAGCCAAGCUUUUUGCCACAAAACUCAAGACUUGGAUUCAUGUGACACACCUAAAGAAAGCACAAAACCCUGGGGGACUGCACAUCAUUUGGUGACUUAAAAAUAAAGAUUUCUCCAAAUGGAAGUAGACAGUAUCUGAUGCGAAGGUUUCCAAGGUGUCUGGACCAGGUCUGUUGGAAGUUUGUCUGCCAAACCUUUGAUGAUGACAUGACACUUCAGAUCAUCUCCAAUGCCUAUGAUCUUGAAAACAUGCAAACUUUAGGUCAAAAGUGCCAGAGAGUUCUCCCUCCUCUCACUCCGUGUUCCUCAAAUGUGGCCACGAUAGGUUUCCAAUCUGUGUGUUUUUCCUCCAACAUGGGACAUGACUCCCAGAGAAGGUCCUUCCUGGCAUCGAGGGACGAGAGGCUACUGAAACUGGAAAAAUCUGACUGCAGAUCAACAAUGCUUUCAGAGAAAGAUCGCAAUCAAAAUGGGGACAUGUGAAAGUUAAUAAACGGAAACGUAGUUGAAAUAGUGUUGGAAGGCUAAUGGAGUUCUCAUGCCCUAUGUCAAAAGCGCAGUGCAACAGGAAGAAUAAAGACUUUCUCUUCCUGACCAGUCAGAAACUAAGCCAAGGAGAGACUGUCACAACUCUGUCGAUGAAAAGCCACUGCCCUCAAGACUGUGUCCAAUAGCCCCCCAAUUUUCCCCACUCUGAGAUAAAAGAGCUUCUCCUGUCUUUCUUGCUGGGUGCUCCUGCAUGGCUCGCCAUGGUUGCACACUACAAAUGGCUAUUCUUUGCUAAUCCCAGGUAAACCAAUUUUCGCCAGAGAAAUAACUGGCUGUCUAUUUGUUUAAGGUCAAGACUUGUUAAUAAGCCAGAGAUGUAGAGAAAACAUUUGAUAAAAUCCAACUCCUGUUUGUCAUAAAAUUUUCUAGCAAGUUUGAAAUAGAUGGAAAUUACUUUCACUUGUUGAAGGUCAUCUACAGAAAAUGCCCAGUUGACUUCAUGCUUAACAGGGAAAGACUAAAGGAUUCUCCCCAUAAUAAGGAAC
rnacentral:lncRNA from 1 species